rnacentral:lncRNA from 1 species
CAAACGCAGCGGAGGUGGAUGACCGGGACUGGCCGGUGACGAUGCUGAGGGCAGGGAUGGCCGUGUUGUCUCGCUGUUGGAAACUGCCACGUGGCCAUGUGAAAACAGACCAAAGAAAGCUCUCUCUGACCUCAGAGCUCUGACCAACACCUGCUAUCUAUACCGAUCAGAGUCUACACAGCAAAAUGUGACCCCGACCCUCCCACGGAGCACAGGAAACAGAAGGCCGGCCGAUCCACUGCGGGAAGGAGAACCACGCCUUCUCCCCACCCAGCCGCCAUCGCUCAAGCGCCGGAAGGUAGGCCGGGCCCCGAUCCACCGCGGGAAGGAGAACCACGCCUGCUCCCGACCCAGCCGCCAUCGCUCAAGCGCCGGGAAAGUAGCCACGCGGGCGCUCCUGAACCCCCAUAAUCCCCCCUACCCCCCCGCCCGCACUCUCAGAC